AGGGGAUCCCGAGUGCGAGGGCAUACAGUCCUCGCUUUUCUGGACCGUAAGGUGGUCCAGGAACAAGGGCUGGGCAAGACCGGUGCCAGCCGCCGCGGUAAUCCCGGCAGCCCGAGUGAUGGCCGCUGUUAUUGGGCCUAAAGCGUCCGUAGCCGGCCGGACAAGUCCGUCGGGAAAUCCACGCGCCUAACGUGUGGGCGUCCGGCGGAAACUGUCCGGCUUGGGGCCGGAAGAGCCGAGGGGUACGUCCGGGGUAGGAGUGAAAUCCCGUAAUCCUGGUCGGGCCGCCGGUGGCGAAAGCGCCUCGGGAGGACGGACCCGACGGUGAGGGACGAAAGCCAGGGUCUCGAACCGGAUUAGAUACCCGGGUAGUCCUGGCCGUAAACGAUGCCCGCUAGGUGGGGCACAGGCUACGAGCCUGUGCUGUGCCGUAGGGAAGCCGUGAAGCGGGCCGCCUGGGAAGUACGUCUGCAAGGAUGAAACUUAAAGGAAUUGGCGGG
rnacentral:rRNA from 1 species